rnacentral:rRNA from 1 species
UCGAGAAUUUUUCACAAUGGGCGAAAGCCUGAUGGAGCGACGCCGCGUGGGGGAUGAAUGGCUUCGGCCCGUAAACCCCUGUCAUUUGCGAACAAACCUUAUUAUUUAAAAGAUGAUGAGCUGAUUGUAGCGGAAGAGGAAGGGACGGCUAACUCUGUGCCAGCAGCCGCGGUAAUACAGAGGUCCCAAGCGUUGUUCGGAUUCACUGGGCGUAAAGGGUGCGUAGGCGGUCGGGUAAGUCUGACGUGAAAUCUCCGAGCCCAACUCGGAAACUGCGUCGGAUACUAUUCGGCUAGAGGAAUGGAGGGGAGACUGGAAUUCUCGGUGUAGCAGUGAAAUGCGUAGAUAUCGAGAGGAACACCAGUGGCGAAGGCGAGUCUCUGGACAUUUCCUGACGCUGAGGCACGAAAGCCAGGGGAGCAAACGGGAUUAGAUACCCCCGUAGUCC